AUAAAUUCUAUGAAAAGGAAAGUACUUUUUAUAAAGUUCUUUAAAGCGAGUAGAGUAUGGUGAGAGUCUACAAGAAAGUAAAAAGGAAGAGAGCCUUGGAGAAGUUUAUCUAAAAUCAGUACUUAUGAAAGUAAGAUAAAUCGCAAGUUUGCGUUAAAAUUUGGAGUGGACAUUAGUCAAUUAGAGUGGUACCGCGGAAUUUACCCGUCUCUGUU
rnacentral:ncRNA from 1 species